CCAAUAGCGUAUAUUAAAGUUGUUGCAGUUAAAAAGCUCGUAGUUGAAUUUCGGGGUCAGUAAGUUGGUCGUGCCUAUGGUAUGUACUGGCUUUACUGAUUCCUCCUUCUUGAAGAACUGUAAUGCCAUUAAUUUGGUGUUGCAGGGAAUCAGGACUGUUACUUUGAAAAAAUUAGAGUGUUUAAAGCAGGCUUACGCUUGAAUAUAUUAGCAUGGAAUAAUGAAAUAGGACGUUGAUCCUAUUUUGUUGGUUUCUAGGGUUGACGUAAUGAUUAAUAGGGAUAGUUGGGGGCAUUAGUAUUCAAUUGUCAGAGGUGAAAUUCUUGGAUUUAUUGAAGACUAACUACUGCGAAAGCAUUUGCCAAGGAUGUUUUCAUUAAUCAAGAACGAAAGUUAGGGGAUCGAAGACGAUCAGAUACCGUCGUAGUCUUAACCAUAAACUAUGCCGACUAGGGAUCGGAUGAUGUUAAUUUUUUAAUGACUCAUUCGGCGCCUUACG
rnacentral:rRNA from 1 species